UAAAUAGAGCAGCUGCUCCCGCCGUCUUUUAUCAAACGCCUUUUCUAUUUGUUUCGUCUUUUAUCGCUUAAAUGAGCCACAAAUUAUCACUGCUGCUUCUACAUCGUCACCGGGUUUGAUUAUUCUAAAUUCACGUUUGGUAUGUUGGGGGUUUUACUGGACUUUCUUCUGGAACCGGGAUGUUCGUGAGUUUAACCGGUUCUGUGGUGUGGUG